UACGUAGGGGGCUAGCGUUGUCCGGAAUCAUUGGGCGUAAAGCGCGUGUAGGCGGUCCGGUAAGUCCGCUGUGAAAGUCGGGGGCUCAACCCUCGGAUGCCGGUGGAUACUGUCGGGCUUGAGUACGGAAGAGGCGAGUGGAAUUCCUGGUGUAGCGGUGGAAUCGCGCAGAUAGUCAGGAGGAACACCGAUGCGAAGGCAGCUCGCUGGGACGGGUACUGACCGCUGAGCGCGAAGCGUGGGGAGGCGAAC
rnacentral:rRNA from 1 species